GAUUAAUCUGUUUUUUUUUUUCGUUUUAUUUUGAAAUCCUCUCCAUUUAAUCUCCAUGAUGAAAAGCUGUGUGAUUUUACAAAAACAGAACAACUCCUUUCAUGAUGCAUAUGGAGAGGAAUUUUGUAAGUGUAAGAAUAAAUGGAAAGGAUUUUUGAAAAACAGAACAAAAGUCCUGUCAAGAAGAAUGUUAUGAAAAUAGACUUGCCGAGUUCUGUUGUGAUUUUGAAAGAAAAAUCAUCUUGUUCAAAUGGUAAAUUGAAGGCCUGUGUGAUAAUUGGAAGCAUGUGUAAUUCUCCCUACACUUACAUUUUGCAUUGCAAGUAUAUGAUAAAAUGCCUCAAUGAAAUUCUUAGUGAAUGACCAAAUUAUUGUCUCUAGACUUACAUUUUGCCUCAAUGAAAUGCUUUGUGAAUGGCCAAAUUAUUGUCUCUAGACUUACAUUUUGCCUCAAUAAAAGUUAUGUUUAAUCAAACUCUUAUUUCUUUGGUUUUAACUUUCUAGAUGGCCACUACACUUGAACCAAAUUAAAAAUACUUAAUGAAUGUUCAAUCUGGUAGUCCAUCAUUAGUUUUUGUUUAAUGUUCAAACAAUUUAAUUUUUGUUCAAUGGAUAAAAACAAUUUAAUUUUUGUUCAAUGGAUAAGAGAUUUUCAUUGUAGACAAGGUAAGUUCUCUGUUCUUAGCUUCUACUUCUACUUCUACUUUGUCUUUGUGAAGAAACUGUUUCUGUUUUGUUUCCAUCCCUAAAUUGAAUCCAGCUUACAUUAAUUUCUUCAUUACAGUUUGGUUUCUGUGAUAAACUUCACCAUUUCUCAACAAUGAAAUAAAGGUACCGUACACAUAACAAUUGUCUUAACAAACAAAAUCUUUCUAUGUGGACUUUCAACAAACACAUAGAAUGCAUCAAUACAAAAACACCAAAAUCAUGUUUAAAACAAAUUAUGGACCAAGAAGAUUUCAACCAAUGUAAAGAAAAUAGGAGCAAAAUCAUAGACCAAGCAGAUUUCAACCAAUUUUCUGUUCUAUCUGUCUCGCUCUUCUAAUGUUGUGGUUGAGUUGUAAUUUAAGUCAAAUGGAGGUUAUUUAAUUUUUUUUAAAAAAAAUAUUAAAUUGUUUUAAUUUUAACAAUCUUAAGUGAUAGAGUUAAUUUUGAAUUCAAAUUGUGAAGACAUAACAACAUUACGAGAAUGAGAUGGAGGGUUGAAAUGGAGAAUGAGAACAAAAGACUUGAAUUUGAGAAUCAAAACUAAGGAUAUUAUUGUUCAUCAAUGUUUAUGAUAUAUCUCUAAAUAAUGGGUUUUAAUAGCUAUUAAACAAAAUUCUGAAGUAUAAAAUAAAUAUACUUUUAAGUCUAUACGUAGUGUUUAAAAAUAUGUAGCACUUAAAUUACAAGAUAAAAAGCAAGAUUCAGGGUAGGAAUUACAUAGGGCACUUGGAAUAUUAAUGAUGGUUUCAACCUUCACUACAUAUGGUUGGACUAACUAGCUGGUUCUUAUUGACUAUAUAUCAUCAUCCUCUAAUCUUAGUUUAGCGUACUUUCUUUUUACCCCACAAGGAUGUCCAUACCUUCACCUCUACUAAUCUCAUGGGUUACUUUUCCCAACUAAUCUCUCAAGUUACUAAAUACUUGUAGUUAUUGUCUUACAUAUACCAAGUAAUAUUAUUAGUUUAGUAUACUUCCUUUGCGCAUAAAGUAGCUCAACCUUGUCAAUUUUUUUUGAUUUUCCUCUAGCAAAUUAUCUUCAAUGAUGUUGAGAGGGAAACAAAUGAUAGUUCAAAAACACAUGUAAACAAGAAGCAUUGAAUAUCAUGUACUAAAAUUCACUAAAAUGAGGUUAUCUUGAAUUUGUAGUAGAAUUUAUGUGAUCUACAUGGUUCACCCCACUCACCCUUUUCUCUAUUUAUUUCACAGCAAUAGAUUAGACACUUCUUGACCUAUUUAUGUUAACAAAAACUUCAUAAUUUUGUACUUUCUUGAUUAGCAUAACUUGUACUUUUGGUAAACGGGUAAAUUUUUAUUUUUUUGCAAUGUUUAAGAACAUUACCGCUGUCAAAUCAAUAAUUAAGAUUAGUCUAUCAUAGUCCAAGAGUAAUGACUACUUAGAAUUCAUUGAUACCAUGAGAAUAAGAACCAAUGACUUUCUUCUACUUACAUUGAAAAUUUGAUGAUUGGUUAAUAGAGUUAGAAAUGUCAUGAGUAUAAUACACCCAUCUUUGCAAUUUAUGAUUUGUAUUUAGUUUAUGAAGAAUUUAGUUUUUGUUUUUCCAUUCCAAUGUAGACUAGCAAAAGUUGUUCUUCACAUAAUGAAAUUUCAUUUGCAUUGUUUUUUGUUUUUUGUGUGUCACCUAUCCCCUCCCCCCCUCCAAACAAAUGAAAAAAUAAAAACAAUAUCAUGCAACAAGGGUGGGGAGUACAAGUAUUAUGGUUACUUACUAAAUGUCUAUUGCUUGUCAUUGAUUUUGUUGGCUACUACUUGUUUCUUCAAAGUUUUAAUUGUCAACCCCCCGGAAGACUUCUUUGAAAGCUAUGAGUGCAGAUUCAAAUAAAUCCCCUUCAAAUGGAUGUGUCUUGAUAUUUGAUGAGAAGCAAGAAAAGAUUAAUGAGUUGAGGAGUUUGCUUGGGCCAUUGCCUGAUAAGUCAUCUAUUUAUUGUUCCGAUGCAUCAAUCUCUAGAUAUUUAAGGGCACGGACCUGGAAUGUCAAGAAGGCAACUAAAAUGAUGAAAGAGACCUUGAAAUGAAGAUUGGAAUACAAGCCAGAGGAGAUUAGAUGGGCAUUGUAUUAUCAAUUUGGCAUCAAGUUCAACAAUGUUGUGGAUACCCAGAUGGCUUUUGGCGUGGACUUGUGGAUAGUCAACAUUUUUGUUUAUGGAGGACACUUGACACUUUUGUAUAAUCCUGCUAACUAUGUCUUCCUCUACUUUUGUGGAAGUAUUUUUUGUAUACGGAGGGCUUUGAUUUUUGUAUGAUUCUAUAUUUUGUAUGGAAUUAUUAUUUUAGUUUGGACAAUAGUUGGUUUGUAUGGACUUUGACAUUUAAAGUUAUUCAUUUUUUUGUAUACGGAUGCAAAUUGUGGAAUGAU